rnacentral:rRNA from 1 species
CAUAGGUUAAUGAGGCGAACCGGGGGAACUGAAACAUCUAAGUACCCCGAGGAAAAGAAAUCAACCGAGAUUCCCCCAGUAGCGGCGAGCGAACGGGGAGGAGCCCAGAGCCUGAAUCAGUGUGUGUGUUAGUGGAAGCGUCUGGAAAGGCGCGCGAUACAGGGUGACAGCCCCGUACACAAAAAUGCACAUAUUGUGAGCUCGAUGAGUAGGGCGGGACACGUGGUAUCCUGUCUGAAUAUGGGGGGACCAUCCUCCAAGGCUAAAUACUCCUGACUGACCGAUAGUGAACCAGUACCGUGAGGGAAAGGCGAAAAGAACCCCGGCGAGGGGAGUGAAAAAGAACCUGAAACCGUGUACGUACAAGCAGUGGGAGCCUCUUUAUGGGGUGACUGCGUACCUUUUGUAUAAUGGGUCAGCGACUUAUAUUCUGUAGCAAGGUUAACCG